rnacentral:rRNA from 1 species
GUCUUUUUGACUUAAAUAUAAAGUAUAACCUGCCCAUUGAAAUUUUUAAAAGGCUGCGGUAUAUUGACCGUACAAAGGUAGCAUAAUCAUUAGUUUUUUAAUUGGAAACUUGUAUGAAUGGUUGAAUGAGGAAUAAACUUUUUUAAUAGAAAAAUUGAAUUUUACAUUUUAAUUAAAAGGUUAAAAUAUAUUUAAAAGACGAGAAGACCCUAUAGAGUUUUAUAAUUUAUAUUUAAUAUUAAAAAAAAUUAAUAGAUAUUUUUAUUUAAAUAAUUAUUUUGUUGGGGUGAUGAUAAAAUUUAAUUAACUUUUAUUUUUUUAUACAUUAAUAUAUGAAUAAUUGAUCCAUUAAUAGUGAUUAAAAAAUUAAAUUACCUUAGGGAUAACAGCGUAAUUUUUUUUUUAAGUUCAUAUUAAUAAAAAAUUUUGCGACCUCGAUGUUGGAUUAAGAUUUAAUUUUAGGUGCAGAAGUUUAAAAUUUAAGUCUGUUCGACUUUUAAAUUCUU